rnacentral:rRNA from 1 species
ACUCAAAGGAAUUGACGGGGGCCCGCACAAGCGGUGGAGCAUGUGGUUCAAUUCGACGCAACGCGAAGAACCUUACCGGGGCUUGACAUCUGCGGAAAUCCCAUGAAAGUGGGCUUCGGGGCAACCCGACCGCAAGACAGGUGCUGCAUGGCUGUCGUCAGCUCGUGCCGUGAGGUGUUGGGUUAAGUCCCGCAACGAGCGCAACCCUUGUCGUGUGUUGGUCCACAAGAUCUCUCACACGAGACCGCCGGUGAGAAGCCGGAGGAAGGUGGGGAUGACGUCAAGUCAGCAUGGCCCUUACGUCCCGGGCUACACACGUGCUACAAUGCGCGCGACAGCGAGCCGCAAACUUGUGAAAGUAAGCCAAUCUCUGAAACGCGCGCUCAGUUCGGAUUGAAGGCUGCAACUCGCCUUCAUGAAGUCGGAAUCGCUAGUAAACGCAGAUCAGCUACGCUGCGUUGAAUACGUUCCCGGGCCUUGUACACACCGCCCGU